rnacentral:rRNA from 1 species
UACGAGGGGGGCAAGCGUUGUUCUGAAUUAUUGGGCGUAAAGGGCGCGUAGGCGGUUUGACAAGUCUGAUGUGAAAUCUAUGGGCUCAGCCCAUAGCCUGCAUUAGAAACUGUCGGGCUUGAGUAUGGGAGAGGUGAGUGGAAUUUCCGGUGUAGCGGUGAAAUGCGUAGAUAUCGGAAGGAACACCUGUGGCGAAAGCGGCUCACUGGACCAUAACUGACGCUGAGGCGCGAAAGCUAGGGGAGCAAACAGG